GACAGAGGUGCCGAGCGUUAGGCGGAAUCACUGGGCUUAAAGCGUGUGUAGGCGGAUCUGUAAGUACCUUGUGAAAUCCCACGGCUCAACCGUGGAACUGCUUGGUAUACUGCGGGUCUUGAGCCACCUAGGGGCAAGUGGAACAAACGGUGGAGCGGUGAAAUGCGUAGAUAUCGUUUGGAACGCCAAUGGUGAAAACAACUUGCUGGGGGUGUGCUGACGCUGAGACACGAAAGCUUGGGUAGCGAACGGG
rnacentral:rRNA from 1 species